rnacentral:misc_RNA from 1 species
UUAAAGUACCAGGAUGGCUAUUCUGUAAGCCUUAUCAUCUCUUCAGGCUAAUUUAAUUUACAACUUCAGUAAAUUAUGGUUUAUUUAAAAAAAAAAAAAAUACUAUGGAUUUUGUGUAUAAAGUCUCUAGUACUUCUUUUAUAUGCAUGUAUAUCAUGAUACUUAGUGUUGUGUUCAUAGUUUUUCAUCAAAGUUUGUCCCAGAACUGAACCAAAUUUAAAUGUUUCGG